ensembl:lncRNA
UGAAGACCGGUUAUAAAGCGUUAUAACUCAGCAGCACUUUGCUGAGACGAACAAAAGGAGAACUUUUCGUUUUUCUUUCUUUCUUCCUUUCUUUUUUUUUUUAGUCGUCGACUCAUCACCCAUUCUUUUUGAAGUCGAUAUUGGGGCUGGGUUUGAUGUUUUAAGUGAUGUUUUUGUAAGGAGGGGGUGGCCUUGAAAGCGCCUGGCGGACGAUGCACCUUCCUUCCAGCGGAUUUUUAAAUAGUCUUCCUUACGGCGGCUGAGGGGAGCACGCGUGCUUCACACACACACACACACACACACACACACACACACACACACACACACAGAGAGAGAGAGAGAGAGAGAGAGAGAGAGAGAGAGAGAAGAGGAUGCUGCUAGCGAUCACAUGCACGCGAACACCGGACUCAUCUAUAAGGUGAUGACAUCAUCGUUGAGAACAUAGUCAGAGGCUGAAUCUAAGGAUAUAUGAUAAAGAAGAAAACAAUAAAGAGCAGGCUUAUGACGUGUGGUGAGGACUAGCUGAAAAUCCAUCAGAUAAGGGAGCAUAAUUAAAAUGUCAGCCUGCUCAGAAGAACGAGUCAGUAUGUGACCCAUCACAGCUUUACAUAACUCAUUUCUCCUGUAGUUUAACUAAGUACUGAUGAGGAAAAUCCAAA